GUGGGAAGGGGACAAAAAAAACCUAUUCAUAAAAUUGACCGCGUGUCUCCGGCUCGGCGUCCGCGACGCGCGCGCGCACAGACACACACACUACCACCGCGCCGCGCCGUCACCGCCGGGGUAGCCCCUCGAUGUCGUCAGUCGCCGUUUCCGAUCCCUCCAGGCUACACUGCCGCCGCGCCGUCGCCGCCGAGCGGCUUGGCGCUGGCGACGAAGGACGGUGCGUCGUGGUCGCCUGGCAUGAACACAACGACCUUGGGCUCGCGGUGCAGCGGGUCGAGGGCCCGCGCCGCCGCCGCCGCCUCGGCCGCCGCCUUCUCGUCGGCCCCCUGCGGCGAGGACGACGGCAGCUUCUUGCGCAUGCAGAUGAGCACGGCGAGCGCCACCGCGACGACGCCCAUCAU
rnacentral:misc_RNA from 1 species